rnacentral:rRNA from 1 species
AGAGUUUGAUUCUGGCUCAGGACGAACGCUGGCGGCGUGCUUAACACAUGCAAGUCGAACGGAGUACCCUCGAAAGAGAUUUCGGUCAAUGGAGAGGACUACUUAGUGGCGGACGGGUGAGUAACGCGUGAGGAACCUGCCUUUCAGUGGGGGACAACAGUUGGAAACGACUGCUAAUACCGCAUAACGUACGGGUAUCGCAUGGUACUGGUACCAAAGAUUUAUCGCUGAGAGAUGGCCUCGCGUCUGAUUAGCUAGUUGGUAGGGUAACGGCCUACCAAGGCGACGAUCAGUAGCCGGACUGAGAGGUUGGCCGGCCACAUUGGGACUGAGAUACGGCCCAGACUCCUACGGGAGGCAGCAGUGGGGAAUAUUGGGCAAUGGGCGCAAGCCUGACCCAGCAACGCCGCGUGAAGGAAGAAGGCUUUCGGGUUGUAAACUUCUUUUGACAGGGAAGAGCAGAAGACGGUACCUGUCGAAUAAGCCACGGCUAACUACGUGCCAGCAGCCGCGGUAAUACGUAGGUGGCAAGCGUUGUCCGGAUUUACUGGGUGUAAAGGGCGUGUAGCCGGGCUGA